rnacentral:tRNA from 1 species
AGCCCGGUGGUGUAGUGGCCAAACACGUGGGCUCAGCAUACGGGGCUUUGGACCCCGUGACCCCAGACGCCGGGGACUUCGAAUCUGGGCCGGGCUACCA